rnacentral:rRNA from 1 species
UACGUAGGUGACAAGCGUUGUCCGGAUUUACUGGGCGUAAAGAGCGCGCAGGCGGUCGUUCAAGUCGAGUGUGAAAGCCCCCGGCUCAACUGGGGAGGGUCAUUCGAUACUGAUCGAGCUCGAAGGCAGGAGAGGGUAGUGGAAUUCCCGGUGUAGUGGUAGAAAUGCGUAGAUAUCGGGAGGAACACCAGUGGCGAAGGCGACUACCUGGCCUGUUCUUGACGCUGAGGCGCGAAAGCUAGGGGAGCA